AAUAAUAGUAAGGAGUGUGUUUAUAAAAAUAACAGCGAAGGGAGGUAAAUACAAAAAAAAAAACGAAAAAAAAUAGCGCAAAGGAAAAAAAUUAUUUUUAAGCAUUCAAGGUAUUGUCUCUUAUAUAUUAUUAACAAUUUCGUAUCAAUUUUUUAAGUCUUACGAGGUAUAAUACUUUUUUAUAUCAGUCGUCAACAAACAUAAAAUAAUUAAAUGAACAUAAAUGGCACUAUUAACUAAUUGUGUUAUUGCAGUGGAUAAUAUUGGUACUUACCAACUUAAUCAUUGCUAUUUCUACUAUGAAUUGUCGUAAAACUACAGUUCAAUACUUACAAAAACUGACCAUUUAUACUUUUGUCUUAACAUUAUUAAUCACUUAAUAUAUUUUAAUGAUUUUUUAAGUACGUAAACACUUUUAUAUCAAACAUGUUCAAGUAUACUAAUAAGAAUAUGGAAUUUUCACAAAUACACUGUUUAAAAUAUUAGCAAAGUUAUAAACCUAUUUCUAUCAGAGACACGUUUCGACCUGGUGAUUAUUUUAUAUCAAAAGAGAUUUAAAAUCAAGAUAAAAAAAUAGAAAGUAUCUUUAAAGAGAAAAAUUUUCCACUACAAAUUCAUCAAUUAAUUAUAAAUGAUAUAAUUAAAAAAUAAUUUUGAAACAUUUAAUAAAAUUCUCAACAGAUACAGAAAGUUGUAUGUAUUUAAAAUGUAAUUAAAAUAUAAUAUUUGUUCCAGUAUAAAAACACAAUAUUAUUUAAAAAUAUUUAUAGUUGAAUAUCUAAAUACCGACUUUAUAACAAACAUGUUGAAAUUCGUAAGUAUAAAUUUUCAAAUUUCUAUUUAGUUAAUUGAAAUUAUCAAAACCAACCUUAAUAUCACUAAAACUGUACUUAAUAUUCACGUUUCUCAACUAGAUACAAAGAUUUUAUACACGACUAGAUACAUUCAAUCUGUUUUGUAUACUUACUUAAAAUUAGGUUAUUCUUCUUUUCCGUAUAGUUUAGUCCUUUUCUCUAUCAUUACACUGCUACUUAGUUUUUUUUUUUUUAAAUUUUCUAUUCCUUCUGUUCGAAGAAACAGCGAAAAUAUACGAUAAAAUAUUGUUUUAUGAGCUAUAAUUAAUGUUAAUAACUAAUUAAAAAUUUUAUGUUACAAAUUAGUGUAAACUUACAGCUUCGCUUCCUAUACGAAACCAAAAAAAGAAGAAUGAGAAAUGCAGGUUAUAUCAGAAAUACUUCAGUGAUUAUUCCAUACAAACUGUUUAUAUUUACAAUACAAUAACUUUGUCAUAUAGUGCCCAAUGAUUUAAGUAAUUAUAAUGUAGUGGUUUUAUUAUCAGGUAGUUCUUUUGGCUGUUGCCGUUAUUGCUGUAAAUGGAAGCGUUCUUAAUGCCGCUUCAACUGUCGGCGAAACUAUUAAUGCUGGGAUAGAUACAGCUCAAAAUACAGCUUCGGCAUUUUUUGGUAUGAACCCGGGAAUUAAUGGAAAUUAUGACGUAUGCACUCCGUGGAUAGGUCUAUCGCGUUUCUAUGCUUCAGUUGGUAUAUUACAAAUUCCCGGAACGAAGUGGUGUUCUUGCCCUACUGGUAUUUUUAAAUAAAUAAAAUUAAAAAAAAAAUAAACGUACAUUUUACUAGUA